GUAGGGAAUAUUGGGCAAUGGAUGCAAGUCUGACCCAGCCAUCCCGCGUGCCGGAAGAAGGCCCUCAGGGUUGUAAACGGCUUUUGACGGUGAAGAACCGACAGGAUGCGUCCUGUUUUGACGGUAGCCGUUGAAUAAGCACCGGCUAACUCCGUGCCAGCAGCCGCGGUAAUCCGGAGGGUGCGAGCGUUGUCCGGAUUUAUUGGGUUUAAAGGGUGCGUAGGCUGGAAGGUCAGUCAGCGGUGAAAAGCUAUCGCUUAACGAUAGUCUUGCCGCAGAUACUUCCUUUCUUGGAUGAGGAGGAGGCCACUGGAACGGAUGGUGUAGCGGUGAAAUGCAUAGAUAUCAUCCAGAACACCGAUUGCGAAGGCAGGUGGCUGUACCUUAAUCGACGCUGAUGCACGAAAGCAUGGGGAGCAAACAGGAUUAGAAACCCCAGUAGUCC
rnacentral:rRNA from 1 species